rnacentral:tRNA from 2 species
GCGCUGGUAGUGUAGUGGUAUCACGUGACCUUGCCAUGGUCACAACCUGGGUUCGAAUCCCAGCCAGCGCACCA